CUUCCCUGCCUAGAACACUCCCAGCAUCUCCCUGCUCUCUUGGGCAACAGAAGCGUGUGUCUCUUCCACUUCACGGUCCGUGUGCUUCUAUGAGACCUUAAGCUCCGUGUGAGCAGGGCCUGGGUCCUUGGUGCAUUUGGCCUGGCAUGUGGAGGCUGUCCCCCAUCCCUUGCUGAUUUAAACAAAUGGUGGCAUCUGGAGGUUUGGACCAGGGCAUAGGAAUAAACACCCCCUGGGCCACUCAUUCCUGAAAUCCUGUCCAGGCCUGAGCACAGCUGAGAGCUUGCUUAAGCAUUUAGCCUGCAGGCACAAACGCCGUGUGAAGAAGGUCCUUGCUUCCCCUUCACCUUCCAUCCUGAUU